AGAGUUUGAUCCGUGGCUCGAGGACGAACGCUGGCGGCACGCUUAACACAUGCAAGUCGAACGGAGAACUUUUGGUUUACUGAGAGUUCUUAGUGGCGGACGGGUGAGUAACACGUGAGCAACCUGCCUCUGAGAGAGGGAUAGCUUCUGGAAACGGAUGGUAAUACCUCAUAACAUAACGAAGCCGCAUGACUUUGUUAUCAAAGAUUCAUCACUCAGAGAUGGGCUCGCGUCUGAUUAGAUAGUUGGUGAGGUAACGGCUCACCAAGUCGACGAUCAGUAGCCGGACUGAGAGGUUGAACGGCCACAUUGGGACUGAGACACGGCCCAGACUCC
rnacentral:rRNA from 1 species